rnacentral:rRNA from 1 species
UCCAGACUCCUACGGGAGGCAGCAGUGAGGAAUAUUGGUCAAUGGCCGCAGGGCUGAACCAGCCAAGUCGCGUGAGGGAUGACGGUCCUAUGGAUUGUAAACCUCUUUUGUCAGGGAGCAAAGGGCGCCACGUGUGGCGUUUUGCGAGUACCUGAAGAAAAAGCAUCGGCUAACUCCGUGCCAGCAGCCGCGGUAAUACGGAGGAUGCGAGCGUUAUCCGGAUUUAUUGGGUUUAAAGGGUGCGCAGGCGGGCUGUUAAGCCGGCGGUAAAAAUUCAGGGCUCAACCCUGUCGAGCCGUCGGAACUGGCAGUCUUGAGUGGGCGAGAAGUAUGCGGAAUGCGUGGUGUAGCGGUGAAAUGCAUAGAUAUCACGCAGAACGCCGAUUGCGAGGGCAGCAUACCGGCGCCCAACUGACGCUGAGGCACGAAAGCGUGGGGAUCGAACAGGAUUAGAUACCCGCGUAGG